rnacentral:rRNA from 1 species
UAGGGAAUAUUGCUCAAUGGGGGGAAACCCUGAAGCAGCAACGCCGCGUGGAGGAUGAAGGUUUUCGGAUUGUAAACUCCUUUUCUAAGAGAAGAUUAUGACGGUAUCUUAGGAAUAAGCACCGGCUAACUCCGUGCCAGCAGCCGCGGUAAUACGGAGGGUGCAAGCGUUACUCGGAAUCACUGGGCGUAAAGAGCGCGUAGGCGGGGUAGCAAGUCAGAUGUGAAAUCCUAUGGCUUAACUAUAGAACUGCAUUUGAAACUGUUACUCUAGAGUAUGGGAGAGGUUGGCGGAAUUCCUGGUGUAGCGGUGGAAUGCGUAGAUAUCAGGAAGAACACCGAUGGCGAAGGCAGCCAACUGGGGGACUAACUGACGCUGAGGCUCGAAGGCGCGGGUAGCAAACAGGAUUAGAUACCCUGGUAGU